AUGCAACCAGAAAUCGGGAGAAGAAAGGGCAGGCAUCGGCCGCGGUGCUCACGUCCUGCCUUGCAUGCCCACGUCUCGUGUCAGAGUGCCUGGUUCAAAUUCUGCUUCCUCUCUCAAGGACCCCCCCGGGAGGCAGCGGGCGAUGAUUCAAGCUCAGAUUUUAAGACACAGGGAAAGCCGGCGCCGAGGCUCACUAGGCUAAUCCUCCACCUUGCGGCACCGGCACACCAGGUUCUAGUCCCGGUCGGGGCGCCGGAUUCUGUCCCGGUUGCCCCUCUUCCAGGCCAGCUCUCUGCUGUGGCCCGGGAGUGCAGUGGAGGAUGGCCCAAGUGCUUGGGCCCUGCACCCCAUGGGAGACCAGGAAAAGCACCUGGCUCCUGCCAUCGGAUCAGCGCGGUGCGCCGGCCGCAGCGCGCCUGCCGCGGCGGCCAUUGGAGGGUGAACCAACAGCAAAGGAAGACCUUUCUCUCUGUCUUGUCUCUCUCUCUCACUGUCCACCCUGCAGGGAAAAAUCCGUGCCCCGCUGCCGCUGUGACCAAUCCUCGGUCUCCCUCACCUGGAUUAUUUCCGAAGCUCCCUGAGCACUCUUUCUCCACUCUCGUGCUCUUUUUUAAGAUUUACUGUAUUCAUUUGAAAGGCAGAAUUAGAGUGAGAGCGAGAGCGAGAGAGAGAUCUUCCAUCUACUGGUUCACUCCCCAAAUGGCUGCAUUUGGGCCAGGCCAAAGCCAGGAGCCAGGAGCUUCUUCCGGGUCCCCCAUGUGGGUGCAGGGCUCCAAGCUUUUGGCCGUCCUCUGCUGCUUUCCCAGGCGUGUGAGCAGGGAGCCGGGAGCAGCUUUACCUGCUGCACCACAGCGCUGGCCCCACACUCCCACUUUCUCUAGCUUCUCCUUCACACCUAUGUCAAAGAUCCUGAAAGGCAAACCUAAUCCUGUCGCUCCCCAGCCUAAAGUUUUCGGUUGCUUCUCCGUGUCUGUCGGACAAAGUCUCAACUCCGCCACUUGA
rnacentral:lncRNA from 1 species